rnacentral:lncRNA from 1 species
UGCUUUCCCUCAGUACCUCUCAGCUGAAAUAGAUCCAGAAUUACUGAGCUGAAUUAUGAGGUCAUAGUAUGUUCAUAGGUGGAGCCUAGGCGCAAGGGGUGGGCAAGGAGCACAGCACGUUCACAUGGAUGGCAGCCCAAAUGUGCCAGUCACACAAGCAAUCUGAUCUCAUCUGAAAGAAGAGAAGCAGAUGUCUGACAACAGGCUUUAUCUGAAGAGAGGAUUGUGCUAUGUCUUCGGAGGUGUGUGGUUUAGCACCCCACUUCAUCUUCUCGUGGAGUACCUGUGCUUUUCCUUUGUCUGCUGCAGAGGAACACAGGGACAGUGGAGGCUUUGAAAAGAGAAGGUGAAGAACAGAAGGUACAAAGUGUCACCUGCCGGAAAGACUGUAAGUGUCUCUCAGAAGGGAUGCUGAGGUGUCUGAAAGAUGCUGAGGGCUCUGUGAUAGAGGCAUGAAGAUUUAGGUAGGUUAGAUGAACAGG